CAAGGCAACGAUGCAUAGCCGACCUGAGAGGGUGAUCGGCCACACUGGAACUGAGACACGGUCCAGACUCCUACGGGAGGCAGCAGUAGGGAAUCUUCCGCAAUGGGCGAAAGCCUGACGGAGCAACGCCGCGUGAGUGAUGAAGGUCUUCGGAUCGUAAAACUCUGUUAUUAGGGAAGAACAUAUGUGUAAGUAACUGUGCACAUCUUGACGGUACCUAAUCAGAAAGCCACGGCUAACUACGUGCCAGCAGCCGCGGUAAUACGUAGGUGGCAAGCGUUAUCCGGAAUUAUUGGGCGUAAAGCGCGCGUAGGCGGUUUUUUAAGUCUGAUGUGAAAGCCCACGGCUCAACCGUGGAGGGUCAUUGGAAACUGGAAAACUUGAGUGCAGAAGAGGAAAGUGGAAUUCCAUGUGUAGCGGUGAAAUGCGCAGAGAUAUGG
rnacentral:rRNA from 1 species